rnacentral:rRNA from 1 species
AUGAACGCUGGCGGCGUGGAUAAGGCAUGCAAGUCGAACGAUACUGAGGCCGCAAGGCCGAAGUAUAGUGGCAGACGGGGUAGUAAUACGUAGAUACUUACCCCAGAGACGGGCAUAAUCCGCCGAAAGGCGGACUAACUCCCGAUGGUCCCUGAGGCGUAAGCCGAAGGGUAAAUCACUUAGAUUGGCUCUGGGAAAGGUCUGCGGGCUAUCAGCUAGUUGGCGGGGUAAAAGCCCACCAAGGCAAUGACGGCUAGGGGGAGUGAGAGCUCGCCCCCCACCAAUGGCACUGAGAUACGGGCCAUACCUCUACGGAGGGCCGCAGCCGAGAAUAUUCCACAAUGGGCGAAAGCCUGAUGGAGCGACGCCGCGUGCAGGAUGAAGUCCUUCGGGACGUAAACUGCUUUUAUAGGGGAUAAACGCAAGUGAUAGUACCCUAUGAAUAAGGGCUUGCUAACCUCGU